GACGUAGGGCGCGAGCGUUGUCCGGAUUUAUUGGGCGUAAAGAGCUCGUAGGCGGUUUGUCGCGUCUGCUGUGAAAACUGGAGGCUCAACCUCCAGCCUGCAGUGGGUACGGGCAGACUAGAGUGCGGUAGGGGAGAUUGGAAUUCCCGGUGUAGCGGUGGAAUGCGCAGAUAUCAGGAGGAACACCGGUGGCGAAGGCGGGUCUCUGGGCAGUAACUGACGCUGAGGAGCGAAAGCGUGGGGAGCGAACAGG
rnacentral:rRNA from 1 species